CGGGAUCGCGCCUGCAACAACCACGAUUCGUUCUUACAUGCAUUGUAAUAAGGUGGAGCGAUCAAAGGGCGGAUUUAACGCGCCAAUGCAGUUUCGUCGAAUAUUUCUGGCGCGAUCACAAUUUUAUUUUGGCACCCAGAACACAUGGAAAUUUGUGAAAAACAUUUCAAAGGAUCAGGAUUGAAGAGGGACUAUUAAAAUUAUUAAAACCAUUUUAUUUGUUAGACAAA